GUUUUAUAGCAUUUAUACUAGUUAUUUUUGUUUGAAAAUGAAUGUAAAAUAUAUAAAAUAUAAUAUACCCACAAAGAUGAGUGUGAUAAAGAUGUAGAUGUUAAAAUAAACAUCGACAACACAAUAAUGGAUAAAGUUAAUUAAGAAUAUAGUUGUUAGAAAGUGCAUGCAGUGCACAUUGAAUGUAAAAUGAGAUGAUGUUAAUUUAAAU
rnacentral:misc_RNA from 1 species